rnacentral:rRNA from 1 species
UACGGGGGGGGCAAGCGUUAAUCGGAAUUAUUGGGCGUAAAGCGCGUGUAGGCGGCUUUGCAAGUCGGGUGUGAAAGCCCUCAGCUCAACUGAGGAAGUGCGCCCGAAACUGCAGAGCUUGAGUACCGGAGAGGAUGGCGGAAUUCCCCAAGUAGAGGUGAAAUUCGUAGAUAUGGGGAGGAACACCGGUGGCGAAGGCGGCCAUCUGGACGGAUACUGACGCUGAGACGCGAAAGCGUGGGGAGCAAACAGG